AGAUACCUGCUCCGUGCGUGAUGAUAGAUUACCCUUGAGCCAACACUUGAGACAAGGGAACCAAGUUCUGAUGGGGCUGACAGGUUCGCCUAAGAGCGAAAAGUCAAAGCCGUCAGAGGAGGUGCCCACCUUUUAAAAGGGUCUCAGAGGGUAUAAUCGUUGCGGCGGAGCGGGUAUAUU
rnacentral:other from 1 species